rnacentral:lncRNA from 12 species
GGGGGGGGGGGGGGGGGGGGGGGGGGGGGGGGGAGCGGCUAAUCGCGGGCCCGGGAUUCUCCAUCAGCCGUCGGGAAGGCGAACCAGGCGGCGGUCUGGGCGCGUCGGGCAAGUUGCGCGCGGUUCCGGUUUCCCCUCCUCGGCUGAAAUCAGCCGCAGUCUUUCUCCAUCGCUACUGUUCUGCCUUUUUCAACGCGGGGGUUUGUCUUGCUGUGUAAACCCGUUCAUCCUCCAGAAGCAAGCAUGCUGCUGUAUCAGGUCUGCUCAUUACAUUGCCCUGAUAAAUCACUAGCGCAACAGACAAACCACUGCCGGUGAGAGAAAUGCUCCAUUACAAG